rnacentral:rRNA from 1 species
GGACGGGUGAGUAAAAGGUAGGAGACCUACCUCAUACAGGGGGAUAGCAUAGAGAAAUCUGUGGUAAUACCCCAUGAGGUUAUAUGAAUAGAGGCAUAUAAUCAAAGUAUACGAGAGUAUGCGGUAUGAGAUGGGCCUACUGACCAUUAGCUAGUUGGUGAGGUAAGGGCUCACCAAGGCGAAGAUGGUUAGGGGUUUUGAGAGAGAGAUCCCCCACAUUGGAACUGAGAUACGGUCCAGACUCCUACGGGAGGCAGCAGUAGGGAAUAUUGGGCAAUGGGCGAAAGCCUGACCCAGCCAUGCCGCGUGAAGGAAGACGGCCUUAUGGGUUGUAAACUUCUUUACUAUACGAAUAGAGGUUAGUACGAGUUACUAAUAGGAAGGUAGUAUAGCAAAAAGCACCGGCUAACUCCGUGCCAGCAGCCGCGGUAAUACGGAGGGUGCAAGCGUUAUUCGGAAUUACUGGGUUUAAAG